AUGACGUUUUCUUUGCAUAUUAUACUAUUUAGCAUUGUUGAUAGGAAAGUUGAUUUACUGUCUUUUCAUUGCUUUGUGCAAAAAAUUACAUUUAUAUUCCUUGGUCCAGUUUUCAUUUGUGGUUCUUCUGUAUGGUCAGGCAUUGCAAUAUAUUUGUAUCUUAUUUCAUAUUUGAACAAUAUCAUAUGUGCUUUUUCCUUCUCUGACAAUUCCCCUUGACUUUUGUAUGCCGUUGCAUUUUCUAUUGUGGUUUAUGCAUAGUUACAUCAUGCACUUCGAG
rnacentral:misc_RNA from 1 species